rnacentral:rRNA from 1 species
UGCGUAGGCGGACCAGUAAGUCAGUGGUGAAAUCUUUCAGCUCAACCGAGAAACUGCCAUUGAUACUGUUGGUCUUGAGUUCGGUAGAGGUAGGCGGAAUGUGUAAUGUAGCGGUGAAAUGCUUAGAUAUUACACAGAACACCAAUUGCGUAGGCAGCUUACUAUACCGACACUGACGCUGAGGCACGAAAGCGUGGGGAGCGAACAGGAUUAGAUACCCUGGUAGUCC